UGCUCAGCAACUCCUAUCCCUACCUCCUCGCGGUACUGACCGGGGUACGAGUAACCUUGGGGAAGAUCAAGUAACCAACCCCCGAUGAUAACUUUGGUCGUAUGCUGACAGGGAGAG
rnacentral:ribozyme from 1 species